AGAGUUUGAUCAUGGCUCAGAUUGAACGCUGGCGGCAGGCCUAACACAUGCAAGUCGAGCGGUAGCACAAGAGAGCUUGCUCUCUGGGUGACGAGCGGCGGACGGGUGAGUAAUGUCUGGGAAACUGCCUGAUGGCGGGGGAUAACUAGUGGAAACGGUAGCUAAUACCGCAUAACGUCGCAAGACCAAAGUGGGGGACCUUCGGGCCUCACGCCAUCAGAUGUGCCCAGGUGGGAUUAGCUGGUAGGUGGGGUAACGGCUCACCUAGGCGACGAUCCCUAGCUGGUCUGAGAGGAUGACCAGCCACACUGGAACUGAGACACGGUCCAGACUCCUACGGGAGGCAGCAGUGGGGAAUAUUGCACAAUGGGCGCAAGCCUGAUGCAGCCAUGCCGCGUGUGUGAAGAAGGCCUUCGGGUUGUAAAGCACUUUCAGCGAGGAGGAAGGGUAAUGUGUU
rnacentral:rRNA from 1 species